rnacentral:rRNA from 1 species
UACGUAGGUGGCAAGCGUUGUCCGGAUUUACUGGGCGUAAAGCGCACGCAGGCGGUCGUGCGCGUGGGGUGUGAAAUCUGGCCGCUUAACGGCCAGGCGCCAUCCCAUACGGCACGACUGGAGGGCUGCAGAGGUCGAUGGAAUUGCCGGUGUAGUGGUGAAAUGCGUAGAGAUCGGCAGGAACACCCCGGGGGAAACCAGUCGACUGGGCAGCACCUGACGCUGAGAGACGAAAGCUAGGGGAGCGAAUGGG